rnacentral:rRNA from 1 species
GCCUACGGCCAUCCCACCCUGGUAACGCCGAUCUCGUCUGAUCUCGGAAGCUAAGCAGGGUCGGGCCUGGUUAGUACUUGGAUGGGAGACCUCCUGGGAAUACCGGGUGCUGUAGGCU